GGUUAAGCGACUAAGCGUACACGGUGGAUGCCCUGGCAGUCAGAGGCGAUGAAGGACGUGCUAAUCUGCGAUAAGCGUCGGUAAGGUGAUAUGAACCGUUAUAACCGGCGAUUUCCGAAUGGGGAAACCCAGUGUGUUUCGACACACUAUCAUUAACUGAAUCCAUAGGUUAAUGAGGCGAACCGGGGGAACUGAAACAUCUAAGUACCCCGAGGAAAAGAAAUCAACCGAGAUUCCCCCAGUAGCGGCGAGCGAACGGGGAGCAGCCCAGAGCCUGAAUCAGUGUGUGUGUUAGUGGAAGCGUCUGGAAAGGCGCGCGAUACAGGGUGACAGCCCCGUACACAAAAAUGCACAUGCUGUGAGCUCGAUGAGUAGGGCGGGACACGUGGUAUCCUGUCUGAAUAUGGGGGGACCAUCCUCCAAGGCUAAAUACUCCUGACUGACCGAUAGUGAACCAGUACCGUGAGGGAAAGGCGAAAAGAACCCCGGCGAGGGGAGUGAAAAAGAACCUGAAACCGUGUACGUACAAGCAGUGGGAGCCUCUUUAUGGGGUGACUGCGUACCUUUUGUAUAAUGGGUCAGCGACUUAUAUUCUGUAGCAAGGUUAACCGAAUAGGGGAGCCGAAGGGAAACCGAGUCUUAACUGGGCGUUAAGUUGCAGGGUAUAGACCCGAAACCCGGUGAUCUAGCCAUGGGCAGGUUGAAGGUUGGGUAACACUAACUGGAGGACCGAACCGACUAAUGUUGAAAAAUUAGCGGAUGACUUGUGGCUGGGGGUGAAAGGCCAAUCAAACCGGGAGAUAGCUGGUUCUCCCCGAAAGCUAUUUAGGUAGCGCCUCGUGAAUUCAUCUCCGGGGGUAGAGCACUGUUUCGGCAAGGGGGUCAUCCCGACUUACCAACCCGAUGCAAACUGCGAAUACCGGAGAAUGUUAUCACGGGAGACACACGGCGGGUGCUAACGUCCGUCGUGAAGAGGGAAACAACCCAGACCGCCAGCUAAGGUCCCAAAGUCAUGGUUAAGUGGGAAACGAUGUGGGAAGGCCCAGACAGCCAGGAUGUUGGCUUAGAAGCAGCCAUCAUUUAAAGAAAGCGUAAUAGCUCACUGGUCGAGUCGGCCUGCGCGGAAGAUGUAACGGGGCUAAACCAUGCACCGAAGCUGCGGCAGCGACGCUUAUGCGUUGUUGGGUAGGGGAGCGUUCUGUAAGCCUGUGAAGGUGUGCUGUGAGGCAUGCUGGAGGUAUCAGAAGUGCGAAUGCUGACAUAAGUAACGAUAAAGCGGGUGAAAAGCCCGCUCGCCGGAAGACCAAGGGUUCCUGUCCAACGUUAAUCGGGGCAGGGUGAGUCGACCCCUAAGGCGAGGCCGAAAGGCGUAGUCGAUGGGAAACAGGUUAAUAUUCCUGUACUUGGUGUUACUGCGAAGGG
rnacentral:rRNA from 1 species